rnacentral:rRNA from 1 species
UACGUAGGGUGCGAGCGUUAAUCGGAAUUACUGGGCGUAAAGCGUGCGCAGGCGGUUCGCUAAGACCGAUGUGAAAUCUCCCGGCUUAACUGGGAGGGUGCAGCGGAAACUAGAAUGCUAGAGGGUGGGAGAGGUAAGCGGAAUUCCUGGUGUAGCGGUGAAAUGCGUAGAUAUCAGGAGGAACACCUGUGGUGUAGACAGCUUACUGGACCACUUCUGACGCUGAGACACGAAAGCGUGGGUAGCAAACAGG